CAAGUUUCAUUUUUAUUUUUAUUAAAUUAAAUUAAUUGAAGAAAAUAUAGUUUAAUUUUCAUAAUUCAAACUUAUUGACAAUGAAUUAAUGUAUAUUAAGUAAAGUAAACAUACUAUUUAUAGGAAAUAUAAAAUUCAAUCUAUUAGGCAAUCCAGUGACCUGUCAAAUGAAAUUCAAUAUGGCCCCCAGGGCCCAUGUGCUUUGAUACAUUGUAGAACGUGUAUUUAAAGUGUUUAUUUUCUAGAAAGGUGCUUUUAUUUUAAUUUAGUGUCUCGAUAUUUAUAAUAAACAAUAGAAAGUUUAGUUUCGUAAAACUUUUGAGCUGGGUAAGUAUGGGGAUUUAGAACAGUUGUCUACAUAAAAACAUUCUUUCUUUGUAAGUGGUUUUUAGACUAUCAAGAAAUAUUAAAUAUUUACUAGUAAGUACACACUGACUAAAAUAUAUACAAUAUUAAUAAUAAUAAUGAUAGUGAAACUUUAAUGGAAUUGCUGGCUUAAAAAUUCCACUUGCUUGAAUUGGAAGGUAUCAGCUGCAGUGUUUAACUUAUAUGUUUAACGUUUUUAGAAGUGAAAAUGCCAACAACCUGUAUUGUAGUUGGAGAUGAUUUAACAGUAUCAAAGAUCAAAUAUCAGGCUGUAUGUAGCAGGCAUUUUGUUCAAGAUAAGUUUUGUUUAUUUUAUUGGUAUAUUUAAUAUCAUGUAUGAUUUCUUAUUUAAUUUUAUGGAUGUAGGAUGUGGUUAUUUAUAGAAAAAACCAGCAGCUUUGGAGGGCGAAAAUCAUCCGGAUUGGGUGUUAUCACAAUGUAUGGGACAUACAUGUCAAGUUUUUACAAGGAAGCAAACAGAUAUAGAUAGAAAGGAGAGGUUGACGAAGAGAAGAGAACUGCAAUUUUCCAAUGUAAGUUAUUAAAUUGCUGAAAAAUAUUGAUUUCAAUUUUUCAGUCAAAUGACUAUUUGCGAAUUUAAAUUUACUCAUUGAAAUGUUUUUGGUAGAUUAUAUUAUGUAUCGAUGUUAACAGCUGCAACAACCUAAAAUUAAAGAAGUUGAGGAAAUUACUAAAGACGAGUUGAAUCAUCCUUCUGGGACAAUGACUCAAACUGAUCUUACAAUGAAUGAUUUGGCUAUUAAAUUUGAACAAUUGAGUUUUUCUGUGCAAAAACUUGAAAAUUUAACAAAAAAAAUUGAAAACUCGCCAUUUGGUUUGAUGGAUGAUAUCAAAAAUAUUCUUCAAGAAAGAAUUGCUGCAUCCGUGGUUGUAAUAAUACAUCACGUCAAAAACGUGGUGUUGAUGUAAAAGUGAAAUUUUAUAAAUUCCCAGAUAGCAUGUUUGGAGCCGCAUGGAAAAUAGCAAAACGUAAACAGUUGAUAAAAGUAAAAAAUUAUAGAAAAUCCAAAAGACUGGGAACCAAAUAAAAAUACGAGAAUUUGUAGUUCUCAUUUUAUCAACAACGAAAAAUCGGAACAUCCGUCUUACGUUCUUUUCAUCUUUCCUGGAAGUGAAAAUAUUAAAAAUAUAUAUAGAAUCCUUUGGACGUUUCCAGCGAGUCAAAAAUCCUGAAUUAUUAAAAGUUUCGAAUAUUAAGAAAUCUUUUGUGAGUAAUGAAACCGAAAAUUCGAAAAAUAUCAUCAAUUCAAUUAAUUCAGUAAUGGAGCAAGGUGAUAAUGUACAUGUUAAUAGUGUUGAUCAGAAUAAGAUUGAUGCUGGUAUUGAAAGUGUUAUUUUUAAACCUGUACAACGAAGCAUAAGUUGUCAAACGGAGACAGUUGUAGAUGAAACGUACGAAGAAUCAACAUAUUUUUUUGCAAUCAGGACUAUCAUGACGGUAUAAGCACUGCAGCAGUACAGAUUAAUAUUCCAAUGAAGAAAACAGAAGAUAAGAAUUGCGAAGCAAAUAUACCAAUUUCAAAGGAUGUCCGAGACUCAAGUGGUGAUCCAAUAAAUGUGGAUCUCAAAAAAUCUUGUCAAGGUUUCCAUCUUCAAUUACUACAGACGAAGUUAUGAGCAGUUUUACGGGCGUGUCCUUGGCAAUUUACUCAUAUCUCUUAAUUUUACUUCCAGACUGUAAAGCCUCGAAAAUAGAUAAAAAAACCAAUUUAUUAAUUACAUUAAUGAAAUUUGUUGUUAUUACGUGAAAAUCAAACUAUUCUUGUCUUGAUGAUAUAUUUAUAAUAUAUAUUUUACAGGGUAGCUCAUACAAUACAUUCUACUACAUGUAUGUGCAUUUCUUUCAACUUAACCUCUU